rnacentral:rRNA from 1 species
AGCCAUGCCGCGUGAGUGAUGACGGCCUUAGGGUUUGUAAAGCUCUUUUCUCCGGGACGAUAAUGACGGUACCCGGAGGAAUAAGCCCCGGCUAACUUCGUGCCAGCAGCCGCGGUAAUCGAAGGGGGCUAGCGUUGCUCGGAAUCACUGGGCGUAAAGGGCGCGUAGGCGG